GUUCUUCAUUUGGCAGCACACAUACUAAAAUUGGAAUGCUAUAGAGAAGAUUAACAUGGCUGCUGUGAGAGCCUAACAGGCAAAUUUGUGAAGUAUUCCAUAUUUUU
ensembl:snRNA U6 U6 spliceosomal RNA